CUCAGGUAAAAGUACAAAAUCUGAAAUAUAACUAGCUGACAUAUGAUACAAGAAAACGUUGUCUAGGUUUAUGCUUAUCACUGUCUACAUGGUCCCGUAAUAAACUCGACAUUUCAAAGUACGAAGUUUGUUGCUAAAGCACAAGCUCACUUCGCACUUCCGCGGCUGUGCCCUCGAUAACACCCGCCUUGGUGGGAAAGAAACGGGUGGUGUCGGGUCUACGGCUGUAGAUAUGACGGGUCAGCCUCACCGCGCGCGGUUUUCUCCGGUGGAAUGUACAGUCGAGCCGCAUGUGAGGGUACUUCAUGGCACAGCUGAUGCCCGGAGGGAUUAAAGGGAGGCAGCCAAACUAGAUGAGCAAGAUACAGUUAGCCUAUAAUGUCAACACAUGAUCUGAAGUUGCAGCAGUCAAGUUGUCAAAGCGGAGUGAAAGCCAGCGUGACUUGCUAUUUCCCAGAUCAGGAGAUAUUGUACACACAAACUGACAAAUCACGUUUUCAGAAUGUAAGUGAACAUGAGAAGUUACAUCCUGGACCACUGGCUCAACACAUCCACAACAAGAAAGAUUUAGAAACUAGAACUAUUGCAUCUUCACCAUCAUCGCAGUUAACAGGCCAGCUGAAAAGCAGCAGAGAUUUACAGAUCAGGCAAGUAAUACUUCUCAGAUCUAAGGAAGACUCCAGUAGGACAUCUGAAGAACAGAGGAAAUCUGCCAGAUUCACUUCCACCAUCUCUAUCAGUCUUCCUAAUAGAAGAAACAAAAAAGACACGGCGGUGGAAAAAACACUGCAUGCUACAACUAACCUUUACAGCACACAUGAAGCCGUAAAAAACACAGCUAAUCAAAACCACACAGAGCUAAGAGACGUGCUUUCACCAACUGAGCAAUGUGGUGAAUCAACUGGUGAAUUCUUUAAGAAUAGGGAUGGGCCAAAAGCAAGCUUUGAUGAAGACAGUUUUACCACUCUGCAUCAACAUGGACAUAACACACCAAAACAGGGACAAAAUACAGGAAUACAACACAACAUAGGCCUUCAUGAACAAACGCAAAUUGUCUACAACGGCUCACAAAGACAUUCUACUCAACCUGUUUGUAAGGUUCAAACAGAAUUCAACAAGGAAUCUGGAGCCAGCGACUGUAGAAAGAAUGCUGCAACAACUCCACAGUACCACAGUAAUCUGACCUCCUUUGAAGUGGACAAUGGUCUAAAAGCAAGCACUGAUUCCCAGUUUUUUGCACACCAUUCAGAAGUAGUAAACCAGGUCUUGCCAUUAGACUCUUUUCCUGCUCCUCAUUCUGAAAGUACCCCUGAGCCAGAACCUGGUCUUAACAAUCCUACAUCAACUAUGUUGACAUCAGCCCUGGUCUCAGUUCUUGCUCCACCUUGGAGUGGCCGUCUUCGAAGACCCAAGCAAGGCGGCAGCGAAGUACAGCAUGAACCCCAAGAUUGUGCACAGAAUGUCAACCCAUCUACCUUAUUUCGCCAGGAUCAGCACCAACAACCAUUUCUUCCUUCCCAGAGGCAACCAUCUGAACACAUGUUGGCCAAUGACAAUGACAUGCAGUUGACUGCAGGAACCAGCUGUAACUCUCCUGACUGGCAAAAAGAGAACAAUUCCCCAAACAUCACAACCACAAUACAGCCAAAGAGACCCAUUAUUAAAUCCUCCUCUGUGGGCAUGAUGUACAAUAAUACAGAUUUGCAUCCUUUUCCCACACCUCUGGACACUCAUCAGGUACCAAAUUUGGCCCAUUCAGGGUACAGAAUAUCAAAAACUGGAGAUGAACAUCAGCCUUUCAAAUCAUUGAGCUCUAAGCCAACAACAAGCACCCUACUUCUUUCCUUGAGGAGGUCAAAUUUGAGAAGCUCCAGUGCUGAGCCCACACAAUCACAGACUCCGAUGACUAGGUCUGUCAGGUCCCUUACAUUGCCUAGCAGAGUUGUUUUGAAAACUCCGUCAUUUGCCCAUUCUGUUACCGCUGAUGACCAAACCCCCAAAGACACUCCUGCAAGAACAGAGGAAAUACCAGUCAGUCAGUUCCCUUUCUCACAUGGAAUUAAGAGUAGAGUGCCAUUAAGGAAAUCACUGUUUCUAAACAAACCAGAGACGGCAAUUUCAAAGAGACUAGAAGCUUCUGUUGCCAGAGUAGAGGAGGAACGUUUCCCAAUGUCCACAACCAAAACCGGCCAACUUGGGGUUCUCAGAGCUCAACAGAGCUCUUAUUCAGUGUUUUCGAGGAAAUAUUCCAGUACAGAGGACAUAGAUCUAGUGGAACUAAAUGCUGCCAACAACAACAACCUGCAAAACUCCAGUAUGACCAGACAAAAAGUAACUCCAGAUACCACAUUUUCUCCCAAAGUUUUAACAAAUUUUAAUGUUCAACAAUCUGGCUUUAAUGUUCAAAAAUUUAAAUCACAAAGUACACACAAUAUAAUAGCCAGUAGUUCAUCAGGCACAAGCACCUUCACAGACAGGCUUAACUACUCACCAAGGAAAGACUCUUCUGUAGAUGGAACAAGUCCCACAAAUGUGGGGCAGAUAUAUCUGGACUCUAAGAAAUAUUCUCAGUCAAGUCAAAGCACAAUGGAUCUUUCGAGCCUUCUUUCUCCAAGCAGACCUCUCAGAAGUGUAAGAGUACCAAGCAUUUAUUCAUACCUAAGGGAGUCCAGCUCAGCUAUGUCCACCCCUUUCCCUUCUACCCCUUCUUCCCACAUACAGAAAGGUGAAACAUUGCCUCCUGAGCAAAAUGGAGGUGGAACACUACAGGGUGACCGGAAAACACUUCCUUCAAGAUUUUCAUUUGACUUUGUACCACAGGUAGAAGCAUUACAAAGAAGCUCUUAUGGCUCCAGCUCUCAUAUAGCACCAGCUCAAUCUCUGCCUCCUGAUUUUGGACGAAGAUCAGCACCUCGUCUCAGCACUUCUCCAUAUUCUAGCCUCAUCUCCUCACGACCUACACUCAACAACACUUUACAAGAACUAUCCUCUCCACCUGUGUCCAAAACUCAUACCCGAACUACAUCUUAUGAUAUUGUAACCACUCCUGCAGACUUCAUUAAAGUUGAUCCAAUCUCUUCACUGUCCACAUACACAAGUAUAAUAAGAAGACCAAAGGAACAGUUAGCUUCUCCUAACAGAAAACAGAGGACAGCAGUUCAAGAUCAUACAAGCGCCCUAGAUAAUCACAAACCUGCCCAGCCAUGCCUCUUACAAGCUGCACCAGAUGCAAGUUUUUUCAUGGAAAGCCAAAGCUCAAAUAUAAGCCCACACCCAAGGCAGCCCAGCACAGGCUCUAACAACUUCUGUCAUCAGGAGCAUGAUGGCUUGAUGGAACUUCAGCUUGAUAAGGGUAAUGCUUACCCCAAGCACAGGCUGAGUGAGAACGAGAAGUAUUUAAUACCUGAUAAGCGCACAGUAGAAAAUAAGACUCCACUGAUAGCUGAGAGAGAGAUUCCCACUGUGCAUAGGCAUGAGAGACUGCAGGAAAUGCAAAGUUCCAAUUCAAAAAAAGGCCUCUUUAGUUCACGAGUUAAGAAAGACAAAGAAGCUGUCUGCUCUUCAGCUUCUAUGCCAGACAAAGAGGUUGUUAAUCCCCAGUAUUUAAAAACCAAAAGACAUUCAACAGUGUUUAAAACCAUCAGCAGGGUUGACCAGAUGUUAAAUCGCUUGAAACUGACAUUUGGUGUCAAACAUUCAGACAGCUCACUUGACGCACUAUCGAAAAAGAACAAGAGUCCCACUCGGCAACUCUCAGAUACUGAGACUUUUGAAAGUCCCAAGACAGAGGACAAAACAUGUUCUGAGAGCCACCCGGAACCUUCUAACUACUCUUUAACAACUGAUAAAACCACUUUAAAUUCCUUGUCACUACUAACAUUAAAAGAAUCUCAGAAUACAUUAAAUGUGGAUGAACAAAAUAAGUCUAUGGCUGAAAUAAAUUAUUCUGGGAGUACACGGGAGGCCCCCAACUCAUUCUUGACCACUGAUAAAGCCUCUUUUGCAUCUUUGUCACCACUUACAUUAAAGAAAUCUGAGAAUACUCAAAAUAUGAAUUGGCAAAACAGAUCUACAACUGAACAAAAGGGUUCUGGGUGCACAUGGGAGGAACCCAACUCAUCUUUGACCACUGAUAAAGCACCUUUGGCUUCUUUUGAGUCCUUGUCACCAUUAAUAUUAAAUAAAUCAUCUGAGAAUAUGUUAAAUGUUCAUCAGCAAAAGAGGCAUAGCGAUGAAAAUGGAAACCGCUCUUAUGGUAGGAGCUUUAGUCCACAUAGGCUAAAGGCCCAAAGUAUGAAUCGUUCUGCCACCUUGCCACAUUACAGAAAAUCCUCUGUCGGUCCCCCAUCACCCUUUUAUUUGUUUGAUUUUGAUUCAGAAGACAUUCAGAAUGACAAUGUGUUUUAUAGUCCAGUGUGCAAAAAAACAAAUUCACUGUGUGAGUCUGAUGACUUCUCUUCUCUGAACUCCACCAAGAGUCCCGUGCAGCAAAACCUUGUGAGGUCUCACUUGUCCUCGUCGUGUGCUGAUUUAAAGUAUGGUCUACACAAUGGACGAUCUUUCUCGGUAAGCAGUGUGGUUUCAAGCCGCCCAUCAGGUCCUGGACGAAUCUCAACAAGCAGCAUCAGCGACCUCUCAAGUUUGGAUGACUUUGUGCCGAAGGGGAAUUAUACAGUAGUUGACUCUCCAAUGAAUAGUAGCCAUUCUCCAGUCUGUGAUGCCAAAUCUAUCACUGGUAAACAGUCUGGACCUGGAUAUACAGAUGAUCUUGAUCUUGAUCAUUAUGAUGCAGACCCAACCCCACCUCCAUCACCAACUAUGUCCUCUUCACCUCGGCGGAUGUCCCAGGCACCUUCUGUGUCUUCCCCCAUGUGGACAACUCCAGAAAAUAUGUCUCCUUCUCGUGGAAUCCUGUCAUCAAGGAGCUACACAACCAGCUUGACUGUUUUUGAGGAGUCUGAUUCUGACACCACAACCGAAGAUGAAUACUAUCUUGACAAUUGUGAUGAUGCAGAAGAAACAGAACUUUAGAGGAGAGAAUUAUGUGUUGUUCAAUUCCAUCAUGUUUACAUAUACUGAACCUUUUAAAUUGGGGAGUGCGGGGGUUCUACGUUUAGGGUCUUCUACUACAAAGCUGCAGCAACAUUAGGCCUCUGUCAAGCCAAUCUAAAUUGUAAAAACAACUAGAAAUCCAGAUUGGAUAUGAAUAGAAAGAAAUAUAAUUAUAUCAGAAAUGUAAGACCAUGUUGAUUUCAUAUUUUUUGUUAUAAAUUAAAUAUAAUGGGCUUUUUGAAUACUUUAGUGUUUGAGGAUAGCAAUUUUUUAUUUCAUUAUGAAUUCAUAUACAAUACAGUACAUUAGGUUUUUUAUAUAUAUUUUCUGGAUCUUGAGUCUUUGAAAUGGUGAAUUCUCACAUCAUUCCUUUAUUGAGGCCUGCUUCCUGUAGGUUAUUGACUGUUUCAUUCACUGUGGCAUUUGAAAGCACAGCAUGUCAGUUACAAUACAUUAUUUUCCUGACAGACAUUCUAUAGUCAGUAGCUGUUAACUAAGAAACUGAACCCCAACUGUUUAACACAGGUGUUUGAAUUUUUUUCAUUUCAUACUGCUCCUUUAACAGUCAGAAAAGAAAAAAAAGAAUAGAACAAUUGAAGUGCCCCUGUAACACUGAUGAUUCCACAUUAAUUGCGGUUAAGUCUGUAAAGAAGAUGAUGUUACAGAAGUCUGCUAUCCAUUUGAUAUUACCGUUAAAAGUAUGAAAGUGUUAUUGAAAACUGGCUGAUCCUGGCAUAUGCAACAUCCGCAACUUGUUAAUUUGAGGUUCAAACAAGGCCUCUCACAAUCAUUGCAAAAGACAUACCACUAGAUGAACUAAGCAUUCUUAAAUAAGAUCUCACAGUUGAUUUUAUUUACUGUAUAAUUUAAUUGUGCUGUUUGUGUGCAUCAUGUUUGUGUGUGGCUUUCAGUGUAAUUUUAAUGGAUCUUUUAUUAUAAUUUAUUAUGCAGGGCAGGGGUUGGGGCAUCAUUUCUCCCCUAGAGCCUAGGGACCUCCAUAAGCUGUUAAGAUGCUCAAUUGCAGCACUGACAACAACACAGUAGGAAAUGCUGUAUAACAUAGUCCUACAUAUGUAAGGUCCUUUAUGUAAGGGAUUUCUUGAAUGUCUACAUUAAAUCGGUUAUAUUUAUUAACAUUUAAUAUAUUGAAUACACUGUAUUUUUCUUAAGGCAUAAGGCGAAUAAUAUUGAUCACUUAUUAAAAAAAUUAAUAAAGUAUCUGUAAAUGACAAACUUUGCACAUGACCUAAGUUAAACUGCUAUGCUAAAUUUUUAUUAGCAAGUACACUGUAGACUUAGUAAACUGUAUAACUCUAAUAACACAGAAAUUCCUUAAUUACAGCUCAUUAAAAACAUGCUGACACUGUUGCGUGUCAUGUCACAACCUGCCAUAAUUUCCAGUGAACAGUUAUGACUAUGAGUGAUGCAACCAAUUUAGCCCUCUUAUAUGAUCGAUGUUUCAGUAAUGGUUGGCAGGUUUGCGGAACAAGCAG
ensembl:lncRNA